CGAAGGACCCGAGCGUUAUCCGGAUUUAUUGGGUUUAAAGGGUGCGUAGGCGGAUUAGUAAGUCAGUGGUGAAAGCCCAUCGCUUAACGGUGGAACUGCCAUUGAUACUGCUAGUCUUGAGUAUGGUUGAGGUGGGCGGAAUGUGUCAUGUAGCGGUGAAAUGCUUAGAUAUGACCCAGAACACCAAUUGCGAAGGCAGCUCGCUAAGCCAUAACUGACGCUGAUGCACGAAAGCGUGGGGAGCAAACAGGAUUAGAUACCCUGGUAGUCCACGCCCUAAACUAUGAUCACUCGUUGUUGGCGAUACACAGUCAGCGACUAAGGGAAACCAUUAAGUGAUCCACCUGGGGAGUACGACCGCAAGGUUA
rnacentral:rRNA from 1 species